UUUAGCUACGAUCGCCUGUUCUCGCCGUUUUCAGUUGAAUUAAUCUAACUUUCUUUCAUGACAACUCAUAAGCAAGCUAUGUCAUAUGUUUCAUAGUCGAUAUAUAAUCAUAUUUCAUGACAGUGUAACGGUUAGAUGUUUUUUACAGAGGGAUGAAAGAACACAAUAUGUCUGUCGGGGAAUGCUAUUCUGAUAGGUCAGAUGAAGAGUUAGACCAGAAAGCCAGGACCAUUAAGGCAAAGAUGUCCCAUGAGGGCAUUAGAAUGGUCAAAGGAAGUCUCAGAGCAGUGGGCCAUCGUGUACAAUGGAGAAGAGGCUUUGCAGCGUGUAGAUGGCGCAGAGAGAGAGCUGAUCAAGGGGUCGAAAAUGUAGAUAUUUACAGAUGUUCACUGUCCGAGGAACAGGCCGUGGAAGCUUUACUGUGGCAAAAGUGUCCAUAACCAGAGAUCUGCAGCAUUUCACAGAGAGUUGGAGUAAUCCCCCUUUAAGUACAGAGGCAAACCUGACGCCUCACCAGCUGUUGCCUUGGCACUACACAACGGAUUCAAAUGAUCAAGUCAUCAUCAAGCUUCAAAUGGUUAUAUCAGCUGUAUUGAUGAACACCUCCCGCAUCUGAACAGGCUGACACAGAGGGCACAGCAUUAUCAUAGGUAUAAUUUGAGAUGAGAGAGAAAGCCAGUCCGGUCAUCGACCACCUCACCCGCUCUUAAGAUAACCUUCGGGCUGACUGGGAGCCCAGUCAGUUAGGUUAGGAGACACUGCUAGAGACUCUAUGUAAUUGUGAUGAACUGAGAGAAUAUUAGGGUAGCCCUGUAAUUCAUUAAUCAUAUGCUGUCUGCCUCUGUUCUUAGCUCUCUCCCCACCUCGUCUUUCUUACUCGUUUUAUAAUGAACAUCAUAUGUGCAUUGAAGUACAGAAUGAACUUGUAUUUAUAAUAUAAUAUUACAAUGACCAUAAUUAUAAUGAAUUUAUGUAUUUAGAACACCUGGAUAAUGAACAUUCAAUAAAG